UGGGGAAUAUUGCACAAUGGGGGAAACCCUGAUGCAGCAACGCCGCGUGAAGGAAGACGGUUUUCGGAUUGUAAACUUCUAUCAAUAGGGACGAAAGAAAUGACGGUACCUAAAUAAGAAGCCCCGGCUAACUACGUGCCAGCAGCCGCGGUAAUACGUAGGGGGCAAGCGUUAUCCGGAAUUACUGGGUGUAAAGGGUGAGUAGGCGGCAUGGCAAGUAAGAUGUGAAAGCCCGAGGCUUAACCUCGGGAUUGCAUUUUAAACUGCUAAGCUAGAGUACAGGAGAGGAAAGCGGAAUUCCUAGUGUAGCGGUGAAAUGCGUAGAUAUUAGGAAGAACACCAGUGGCGAAGGCGGCUUUCUGGACUGGAAACUGACGCUGAGGCACGAAAGCGUGGGGAGCGAACA
rnacentral:rRNA from 1 species